rnacentral:misc_RNA from 1 species
AACGCACCUUGCACCUUUUGGAAUUCCGAAAGGUAUGCCUGUUUGAGUGUCUGUGAAACAUAUGAGUUAAUAACUCGAUUUGAGCAUUGCAUUAGAUUGCUUGCUUUAAAUGGAUUAGUCAGGGUUUGCCGUCAAGUAACGAAGCGUAAUAAGUUCCGCUUAGUGAAAGGGCAAAUAUUGGCUCCUAAUUGCUAUUAGGAUUUCGGUCCUAAGCAUUUAUCAAAUUAGACCUCAAAUCAGGUAGGACUACCCGCUGAACUUAA